UUUUUUUUUUCCUUUGAUCAUUUUUAAGGAAACAGAAGCCCAGACAGUUGGUGUUUAAGGCACAACAACACAAUUUAAAGAUCAAGGUUGGAAUAUCAGGGCUCUGGAUGCCACAUCUGGAGCAGAUCCACUCCAUCUGCCAUAUCCAGAAGCAUUUACAAUCUUAAACCCCAUAGAUUUCAGUGAAUUCUUGGGUCCCAAAUGGCAGGCUGUCAACUUUAUCCAUUGGUCCCCACUGUUUCUUUUUCCCUGGUUAGUGAGCAGAGUAGCCUGGCACUUCUACCCACAUGAGCUGGAGUGGGAAAAUAGCAGGGCAGAAACUAGUUAGACUGCAAUGCUCAUGUUGGAAACCCCUUGCUGAGUCAUGUUUUGCUUUCUUUGGGACUUCUGGAGCAGGAGACAGGUGAAGUCAAACACUGAUAAGAGGGAGAGCUCCUGAGAUGCUUCCUUGAAUGUUCGAUACUAAGUACAGUGUUCUUAAAAUCCACUACCUGAGAUCCACAGAGUGAAUGAAAUGGCAGAAUUUCCCCCUUGUUUAUUCUUAGAUUGAAUCCUUCAUGAGGAAGAGGAGGCCAGCCGUAGGUAUGCUUUCUAAUAGAAACUCACGUUUCCUUGAAGUUAUGUAAAAUUAAUUUGGAAACACUGAUAGCCUUGUAAUUCUGGUGAAGCUAAACACCACACAUAGCUAUGGAACUGUGAGCCAGGGCCUGCAUUUCAAUGUCAGCUGCCGUGCUUUUGAUGCCUCCUUCAAAAUUCCAUGAGUUGGUCUUGAAAGAGAAAGUGGUGUUGAACAAAGGAAAAGAAGGAAUUUCCUAUGUAGAAGCUAAAUUGGAUAUUCAAGCCUGCCUGACAGAAACAAACAAGCCCUGCUGUCACUUCAAACACAACCAAAAGCAGGUUCUGGGAGUGUAUGUACAUUCUGUACUGAAAAUGCAUGCUAAUAGUCACUUCUGUAGAGGCAGGGAGCCCACAUCCAGCCCACAGAGCCAAUUAAUGAACCUUUUUUUUGACCACAUUGUUUUGGGCUGGUUGCACUGACAAAAUGCACAUGGUGCCAGCCUUCAUGGUGACCUGAAUUCCUUUCAAUCUCCAAAAAAAUAUUCCAUGCCAUUACCACUUACAGCUGAGCUCCCAGAGGCAAACUCCUGCCAUGAGAUUUAGGGCAGAACCCAGACUCCUUGUGUCACACUAUUCCACCAGCAGGGUAAAAUAAGCAGUGUACAUGAAUUGAUAAAACACUGAGAUGUGGAAUUAUUCAAAUAUUUUUAUGAUGAUGUAAAUUUAUAGCAAGAGGUCUCUGGUAUAUUCAGUGCCCACCACAUAGCUCUGUUGCACUGCAAGAAGUUUGUGAGCAAAAGAAAACAUGCUAAAUAAUUUCUCCAGAUAUGAGGAGACAGAGCCCCUGCUUCAGUGGCCGCUUCUCAGGCGAGCAGCAGGUACUGGAUGACUUGCUAAACUUCUGUUAGGGAUUGCACAGAUGCUGUGGUACUUACCAUGCACACCCCCACCUGGUCCCAAACCAGGUAUUUGAUCGCAGAUAUGAGUUAUCAACAUUGUUGUUCUCUUAAAUUGGAAACAGAGCAUCAUAGAAGCAACUAUGAAGAAAAUACUCUAUCCCACAGUAUCAGAUCCAUCCCCCAGAAGGAUGCUGGUUAUGCAGGUGUAACUCCAAAGCUAUGUCCUGGAGGUUGUCUGCACUGUAUAGUGAGCUUGGAUGGGCUUUUUAGGGAGAAAGGGAAUUAAAUCCUGGUGCUGGCUUUGGACAGAUGCUGGCACUUCUCAGCUCUACAUGCUGAAACCUUUAUGGGGAGGCAGAUGGAUGAAGUCCUAGCCCUUUCCUUUCCCCUGGACAUGGUAGCAGCAGCCCUACCGAGGCAAAGCCAGCUGCACAAAUCACAACAAAGACCAGAAGCAAGCUACAGACCAUUAACCUGGUGCUACCCCAUAUGUCCCUGCUCUGUUUGCUUGCCAGUCACAUACAACACAUGCCUAGAUGCGCUUGGGGAAAGCACACAACACAAGGGUGGGAAGCCUGUCCAGCUGCCUAAGGAUGCACAGGCAGAGGUCAUGCCACUCCCUGAACUUUGCUUAGUGCUUUCCAAAGGACACAGGCAGAGCAGAAAUGAUUGAAUUAAAAUCUGACCAUUUACUGCCUAAAGAUGCAAAAACAGAUAAGUGAAACAGGCUUCCCACUAACAUGGGCAGUAGAAAUCUAAAAUUAGGCCAUACUUGAAGGGUAGUGAGGAGCAUGAAAAAAACUGAAAGAAUGACUUUCAUCUAAGACUAGCAUAUAAAAAUGUUUCCUAAAGUAAAUUCUUAUAGUUACUCGAGAGAUGUUUAUUCUCUGACAUUUAUCUAGAUGAGGCACUUAUUUUCAUUGUAUUUAUUUUCAGGUCUGAAGGAAAUUCAGUAUUACAGUAAAGCCUUAAACAAAGGCAGAAAGAAUCGUGUCAGUAUUUGCCAUUAUUUUUGAUAAAUUAUGAUAUAUUCAGCACUCCAAUCAGUGUGCUCAGUACUGUUAUAUUGAUUGGCAAAUCAACAGUCUGGUGAAUACGUGGUUGGAAAAUCUAACUUAUAAAUUUGGUUUCUAAGCAAUCUUUUCCAUCAUUUUUUGUCAUGGGCCUCCACAGUGUCCCUGGCACUGGCUGUAUUCCAGUUGCAAAUUGUUCCUCAUUCACAGCCGGGGUGCUUUUAGACAAUACUUUGUUGUUCCAAAAUUUGAUGUUCCCUACCAUGGUGGCCACAGAAAAGGAACUGCAGAAGGCUGCAAAUUCAUUCCAAGCUGGGUUGGAUCCAACUGCUCGAUGCAAGGGUGGAGACUCCAGCAAGUUUUAGUCAUCUUUACGAGGAAACUCAAUCAAGUAUUCCUCUAUGCUUGCGGUUAGGAUCCAAAUUCAUUUAUCUUUUCCCCCACUGAGCCCUCCCAGCAGUUCUCAUGCACAGCGCAGCGGCACUGUAAUGAGGAGGGAGGUAAAGGAGGCACCUGGAUGAAUCUUGAAUACAGGAUGGACUGAGCUGAAGCUAGGGAAGCUGCAGAAGGUAGAGAGAAGUAAUGAUACAUGCAAAAUAAAACCCAGAUGGAAUAAUCUACAUAGUAGGACUGGAAGACUGGAGAAGGAUAAAAAGCAAGUAACAAACCUGAACUCUGCUUAAAGCUUCUCAAACAGAUAAAUGAUUUUCCAAAAAGUAUUUCUGAUGUCUGACUGAAGCUCACAUAGUAGACUGGUUUCAGUCAGGGAUUUAUUUCUUGCAUCAAGAAAAGCAUGCUUGGCAGUCAGAGGGGAC
ensembl:lncRNA